GCCCCGCGCGAGCGCCGCGGGCUCGGGACGCGAGCUGGGAGCUCCCGAGCCGGAGGGAAAAGGCGGGUCUCCGGCUUGUUUUGAUUCGGCUUCGCUGACACGCUCUGGCCCCGCCCCCGCCCGUGACGACACUGGGGAUUCGGCCUGGCCGCGCCCACCAGGUGACCUCACGGCGGAGCGGAGCGGACCGGCCGCGUGACGUCCCGCGCGAGCGCCGCGGGCUCGGGACGCGAGCUGGGAGCUCCCGAGCCGGAGGGAAAAGGCGGGUCUCCGGCUUGUUUUGAUUCGGCUUCGCUGACACGCUCUGGCCCCGCCCCCGCCCGUGACGACACUGGGGAUUCGGCCUGGCCGCGCCCACCAGGUGACCUCACGGCGGAGCGGAGCGGACCGGCCGCGUGACGUCACGCCCGCGCUGAGCCGGCCGCUUUCGAGUGACGUCAUCCUGACGCCCUCACGGGGGUCUGCGCAGCUCCUGGGCCUCUGCGAAGCGGCUUCGUCAAGUGGCGCCUGAGCCAACCCGGUGGCAUCCCGAGUAGUUACUGGGUGACCUCCUGACCUUCGUGUAAUCGAGGCUUAGAACAAUAUGAUCCGGAAAAACAGGCGGCUGACUGGAACAGAAGUGAGAACAAAGGAUUUCGGACUCAUAAUCCAUCAAAACACUUUGCCCUUCAAGAACAAUCUUGGGCUCAACCAGCUUCUUCCCAAACCUCAGGUCCCAGAUCAAACACACCCCUCCUUCAGAAUGUUGUGGCAGAAACACCUUCCCGGAGGAGCUAUCACAGCUAGGAACUUAAUUUUUCAAGAAAACUACAUGGGAAAUAACUCUUGAGUAUUACUUGUCUGGGAAACCUAAACAAUAAGUGGAACUUAUUGACAAUGCGGAAGCUGCUCUAGUGAAGAUCUAUGAAUCCUCUGGUUUGCUGACUUCUAGGGGUAAGCAGGGCUCAAGUGGGAAAUAGGAGUUCCAUAGCAAGAGCUUAAAAGGCUAUGAUUCAUGUCAGUAAGUUAGGGAACAUCUCAGGGGAACCUAUAUAAAAAAAUCAGCUAUGAUGGCUAUGAUGCAGGCAGGCUGGGUCCAAGGACCCACAUGGGGUCCUACAGGACCAGCCAAAAAGGCCCUUGGCUUCACACAAGACGGAAAUCAAAUGCAAGCCAGCAGGAUGUGAGAGCACAGUUUAUUGAAGAUACAGAGAACACUUACAGAUGGAGCAUUUGGGAGACUCAGAAAAGAAAGGAGCAAGAUUCUCAUCUUUGGGUCUAGGAUUUUUAUUGAGGAUGGUGAUCUGGUGUACGUAUCCCCUUAUGUAUCCAGGAACCAGUUAGAACAAAGAUGAGGGCUCAAGUGUCAUUCUUUGGAGCCAGGGGGCCUUGACAUAGAGUUGUCUUGCACUGGUGUCUGGAAUGCACAUGUGGUGGUUUCUCUGGUCAUUCUCACCUGGUUCUUCCUUAAAUGUUAUCUAUUCUGAAAAAAAAAAAUCACUAAGUCUUUGUCCCUUACAAGGACGACAUACUUUAUUUGCACUAUGAGGCAAGUAUAAAGUGGGGUGGGGUGCAGGUCCUAGCAAGAAUAGAAGCAGAAAAAGGAGAAAAAGCGUAUUUUUAUGGUGUCUCAGUACAUCUUUUAAGCCUUGAAGUUCUCAACAUUUUAAACUCUAUCUACUCUUAAUAAACCUAAAAAGCUCAUAUACUCUGUAAUGAGU
rnacentral:lncRNA from 1 species